rnacentral:rRNA from 1 species
UACGUAGGGUGCGAGCGUUGUCCGGAAUUAUUGGGCGUAAAGGGCUCGUAGGCGGUUUGUCGCGUCGGGAGUGAAAACCAGGUGCUUAACACCUGGCUUGCUUUCGAUACGGGCAGACUAGAGGUAUUCAGGGGAGAACGGAAUUCCUGGUGUAGCGGUGAAAUGCGCAGAUAUCAGGAGGAACACCGGUGGCGAAGGCGGUUCUCUGGGCCGAUAUUGACGCUGAGGAGCGAAAGCGUGGGGAGCGAACAGG